GGCGGCGUGCCUAAUACAUGCAAGUCGAGCGAGCUUGCCUAGAAGAUUUUGGUGCUUGCACCGAAUGAAACUAGAUACAAGCGAGCGGCGGACGGGUGAGUAACACGUGGGUAACCUGCCCAAGAGACUGGGAUAACACCUGGAAACAGAUGCUAAUACCGGAUAACAACACUAGACGCAUGUCUAGAGUUUGAAAGAUGGUUCUGCUAUCACUCUUGGAUGGACCUGCGGUGCAUUAGCUAGUUGGUAAGGUAAAGGCUUACCAAGGCAAUGAUGCAUAGCCGAGUUGAGAGACUGAUCGGCCACAUUGGGACUGAGACACGGCCCAAACUCCUACGGGAGGCAGCAGUAGGGAAUCUUCCACAAUGGACGAAAGUCUGAUGGAGCAACGCCGCGUGAGUGAAGAAGGGUUUCGGCUCGUAAAGCUCUGUUGGUAGUGAAGAAAGAUAGAGGUAGUAACUGGC
rnacentral:rRNA from 1 species